CUUAGAUUGGCUUAGAUCAUUUCGAUCGCGAUAAAAAGAAACACAUGUGUACGUGUCAUAAGCUGUCAUAAUGAAUACUGAUCAGAUAAUUGCUCGCCGGAAUCUACAGGUUUAUGUAAAAAACACUUGAAAAUUUUAGGUCCACCAAAGUAAAGUUUAACCGAAGAAUGUAUUAUCUUCAAUUUUUACAUGAACAAAAGCACUUUCUAUUCGUAACUCGUAACCUUAAUAGUGCAACAUGUAGCAAUAGAAAGCUGUAUCCUUUUCAAGUGAUCGCACAAUUAUCAAAAUAAUCUUUUGUUCUGAGAUCCUAUGAUUUACUAAUAUACUACUAAUCAUGUCUGAUAUAUCAAAUGAAGAGAAGUUUGAGACAGUUCAUAUAGAUCAUACGAUCUUUAAUGAUUCAGAAUUUGAUGAUGCGUUGGGUGUACCUGAUUUGGAUGGUACUGCUAAUGAAAAUGAUGAUACCGUUAACAUUCAUUCAAAGGAAGAUACUGACAAUAUAGAAUGGCAAGGUGUGAUACCUUUCUCUGCUAUACAUAACUUACCAAAAAAGUUUAAAAGUCAGAGCCGUGGUGUUUUUAUUCCUGGUGAACAAGUGCAUGUGAAGAUCAUAGAUACUGAACGUAGUGUAACAACGCAUCCUUUGAACCCAAAUUUGUACACAAUAGAAUUUAGUCAUGGUCCAUUCAGAUGGACGAUUAAGAAACGAUAUAAACAUAUUCAGUAUUUACACAAUCAAUUAAAAAUAUACCGUACUAGCUUGGAUAUACCUUUUCCAACUAAAGGUCAUAAACAGAGGAGAAGUAGUUUAAAAAGUUUAGGAGAUGUGAAAGAAAGAAAACGUCGUCGAGGUGCUCUGCCAAGGUUUCCGAAUAAGCCUGAUGUUCUGGUACCUUACGAGCAAUUAGAUCAUAGGAAGAAAGUGUUGGAGGAGUACUUAGCUAAUUUAUUAAAAAUAAAGCUUUACAGACAACAUCCAGAGACUAUCAACUUCUUAGAAAUCUCCCAUUUAUCAUUCAUAGCAGAUUUAGGAAUGAGAGGUAAAGAAGGACUUAUUUUGAAAAGAACUGGAUCAGGUGCAAAAACUAGAUGCAAUCUCUGUGGCUUGCUAGAAAGCGUGUCUUGUGUCACGUGCACUCAUUUGUGUACAUAUAUAUGUGGCAAAUGGCAUUCUCGACAUCUUAUUGUUAAAGAUACUUUCGUUGCCUACAUUAGACCAAAAGAUGGUAGCAUAAAAUCAGUAAUUUUAAUGGACCAUGGCUUUGGAAUUAGUUUUGGUCUCUACACAACAGGUUUAAGAAAUGGUAUGCAGAUAGUAAAUCUUAGCAGACACAUAAUAAUCAAAUGUUGGACCAGAAGACAAGCUAAAGAAUGGAUGGAAUUUAUACAAGAACUUAGUAAUAAGGAAGGCCGAGAUUUUACGCAGUCGAACCCGCAUAACUCGUUUGCACCUUGUCGGUCGCCUGUACCAGCCACUUGGUUUGUCGAUGGAGCAAAUUACAUGUCUGCUGUAGCAGAUGCAUUGGAAAAUGCUAAAGAAGAAAUUUUUAUUGCUGACUGGUGGUUAUCACCUGAAAUAUUUAUGAAGAGGCCAGCUAUAAAUAGCGAUUAUUGGCGACUAGAUAAGAUCUUACAGAGAAAAGCUUUCGAGGGGGUGAAGGUAUUUAUAAUGAUUUAUAAAGAAGUGGAAGUCGCGCUAGGCAUAAACAGUUUCUAUAGUAAACAACAACUUGUAGAAAAAUGCCCCGACAACAUAAAAGUAUUGCGUCAUCCAGAUCAUGCGAGAGUAGGCGUGUUUCUUUGGGCGCAUCAUGAAAAAAUUGUAGUCGUUGAUCAAACUAUUGCAUUUCUUGGUGGCAUUGAUUUAUGCUAUGGUCGAUGGGACAAUAAUCAACACAGAUUAGUAGAUUUAGGUUCGACUCAUCAAUCUACUAUUUAUAUUCCAUCCAAAGGGAAACAAACAAAUACCAGCAGUAAAAAAGUAUCGUCUUCUAAAACACAGAAGCAUGUCAUGCUACCAUUAGCUAUCGCGACUAAUACAAUCGUACUGGCUACUACAAGAUCUAUACCUGUACGGCCAAUGAUAGACACUAGAACAACAAUGCAACUAGCACUGCCACAAUUAAAUCCUGAAGAUUUAAUUUUAAUGCAAUCACCAGAGACAUUUGAUACCGUAAAAUGUAAUACCCCGAAUACAGAGCGUAAAAAUCUAUUUGGCAUGGCUAAAGAUACUGUAGGCAAAGUGAAACAAAAUAUAAAAUUAAAAAGGCAGGAGCUGAUUAACAUGGUGUAUACUCCCCACGAGGAAAGCAGUGAUGAAGAAGAUACUGUGGAUUGCGCUACAGUAGAAACUCCAAUUGAAACUAAUGAAUCAAUGGUAAGUGACGAAGUAGACACAUUUUCGCAGUACCCAGGUACAGCUAAAUUAUGGCUCGGAAAGGAUUACACAAACUUUAUUGUUAAAGACUUUAAUGAUCUUGAGAAACCCUAUCAGGAUUUAGUAGAUAGGAGCACAACUCCUAGAAUGCCAUGGCAUGACAUGGGAGUUAUGGUCCAAGGUGCAUCAGCUAGAGAUGUUGCUAGACACUUUAUUCAGCGUUGGAAUGCGAUCAAAAUGGAGAAGGCGAAAUUGAAUCCAUGUUAUCCAUUUUUACUUCCAAAAUCGUAUAAAGACUGUCGAAGCUAUGCACCAUUUAUUGAAAAGGCAGCUGUACACAAUGUUAAAUGCCAAGUGUUAAGAUCAGUUAGCUCUUGGUCCGCUGGUUUUCUUGAUUCUCAAACCUUAGAACGAAGUAUACAAGAAGCUUAUAUCGACGCCAUCAGUAAGGCUGAAAGGUAUAUAUACAUAGAGAAUCAAUUUUUUAUAACACUUACAUCUAUGGAACGAACAGCAGUAAAAAACCGUAUCGGAGAAACGCUAUAUAAACGAAUUGUAAGAGCUCAUCGCGAAGGCGCGAUAUUUAGAGUAUUUGUAAUAAUGCCUCUACUGCCAGGCUUCGAAGGAGAAGUUGGAGGAGCAAGUGGCACAGCCUUACGCGCUAUCACUCAGUGGAAUUACGCUUCCAUAUCGAGAGGCAAAGAUGCAAUUCUAAAUCGAUUGAUUGAAAAGGGAAUAGAAGAUCCUAGUGAAUAUAUUACAUUUCACGGUUUAAGGACACAUGCAAUGUUGAAUGGUACAUUGGUGACAGAGUUAAUUUAUGUUCACAGCAAGCUAUUAAUUGUAGAUGACAACACAGUCAUUUGUGGCUCCGCUAAUAUUAAUGACAGAAGCAUGCUAGCAACAAGGGACAGUGAGAUUGCAGUAAUAAUUCAUGAUCAAGAAUUUGAAGAUGGAAGGAUGAAUAAUAUAUCUUUCCCCUGCGGUAAAUUUGCGGGGUCGUUAAGAAAAGAAUUAAUGUCUGAACACUUAGGGCUACACAAGACAAAUGAAGAUAUAGACAUGACCGACAUAAUUAAGAAAUCAUUCUACAGAGACAUAUGGUGUGCCAGAAGUAAUCGAAAUACGGAAAUUUAUGAAGAAGUAUUUCACUGCAUUCCAACGGAUAAAGUCGUCAAUUUUUCUAUGUUGAAGUUGUAUCAGGAUGAGGAACCACUGUGUUCAUCAGAUCCACUUUUAGCUCAAGAAAUGGUGGAUGAAAUUAAGGGUCAUUUGGUAAAUCUGCCACAAAACUUUCUAUGUAACGAGGAUUUGAAACCUGCAGCUAGUACAGUAGAAGGUAUUAUGCCGACAGCUUUAUGGACAUAAAUGUUUCGUACUUAUAGUCAAGUACCCAUGAAACUUAGACAAGUUUUUUUUAUUAUAUCUCGCAAUCAGAUAGAAAUUGUUGUUAUUUAAUUCAUUGUCAAAAAGUACAAAAGAUUGCUUUAUAGUUGUGACUAAUUGUGAGUAUUUGAUUGAUCAUGUGAUUUAAAAAAAUAUGAAUGUGUACUAGGUAGGAAAUAAGGUAGCUACAGACUUUUUUUGCAGAACUGGAAAGCAUUUAAUAAUAGCUUAUUUACAGUGUAAAUAUAGUAAUUGUACUUCAACAUUCCAGAAAGUCUACCUCUGUGAUGUUAGCAGAUUUUACUGUCAGUAGCAAUUACUGAUUUUAAUCUAACUUUAUCUUCUUUUUUUUUAUUUAUAAUCAUUUAUAAUCAGCGCUCGAACGUCAUUCACAAUAAACGUAUAGGUUAGAAAUCCAACGGUUUAAAAGUUAAACAUUAAAACUUCCAUUUUUGUGAUCUAGGCAUCAAAAUGUACUAAAUGGUAUACAAAAAAAAAGUCAAUAAUUUUUAGUACCCAGAAGUAAAGCUCAGCUAACAUAUACGUUUCAAAUGAGAUUCUAAUGCGCUUCUUAAUCAUAUCACUUUUUUUUUAUUACAAAUUCUAUUUUGUAAUGCUAUUUAUUAGUACUCUGGGCGAUACACAUAAUAAAAACAGUGUGCAACCUAAAUAGCUUCUUUUUUGUUUGCUCUUUAAUAAAUCAUUUUAAUUUAAUUCACCAUGACAUGCUACAGUAUUGUUACUUCAUAAAUUUACGUUUUACCUUCGCGUGCAGCUUUGUUCGCGUAAAGUGUUCAAAUUAAGAGUACUCUACGUCAAAGUAAGUAAAUGUUAAUAUAUUUUAAAAAUUGCAGUUGCAAUCAGUUUUUCAACUAUCAUUUUAUCCAACAUAGUUGUGUAAUCGUAUACGAUGCAACUUCGAGAUGGCAGCCGAAAUGAGAUUAAAUUACUAACGGUUGCCGCAUGAAGGAGGCACAUCGGCGCCUACGAGGCGAUAACCAAAACGACAAGCGGGCUAGAAUUGGUUGCAGUACAACGGGGACAUACCUGCGCUUGGAGGAUGGUAACCGAACCGACAAACUGGCAAGCAUAGGUGUUGCCGCAUGAAAGGGGCACCGCUGCGCCUACGAGGCGAUAACCAAACCGACAAACAGUCUAGCCGCGGUUGCAGUAUAACGGGGCAUACCUGCGCCUACAGGAUGGCAACCUAACUGACAGACAAGCAAGCAUAGGUUGCUGCUUGAAAGGGGCCCCUUUGCGCCUACGAAGUAAUAACCGAACCGACAAGUAAGCUAGUAUCGGUUGCAGCAUACCAGGGGUAUCUCUGCGCCAACACUAUAGCUACCUGGCCUACAAACUGGCUCAAUUCGGUCGAUAUCUAACAGGGGCAUACUCGGGCCUACUUCAUGACCACAAACAUUUCGUUCUCUUUUCGUUCAAGCAGCGUUAGACACCGAUGAGUGACACUAAUUUUCUCUUCACAUAUGGACACCUUCUAACACCUCUUAACAGCUUCUACACCUUUUCACAUCUCCAAACAACUCCUGAAACCUCUUAACAGUCUCUAACAUUUCGUAACAUCUCCUGAAACCUCCAAAGACCCUUUAACAUUUCCUAACCUAUUCUAUCACUUCCUUUGACAUCGUGUAACAAUCUCCAACAUCUUCUGAAACUUCCAGACACUUUUUGACAACUCCUAACACCGUCUAAUAUUCCCUAACACCCUCUAACAUCUCCUAACAACUCCGAAAAACUCAUAAAGCCUUCUAACACCUCCUAAUACCUUCUACAACCAUCAAACCACAAUCGAGACAAAUUAGGUACGUACCAGAUUUUCUAUUUGCCACAUCUUCGCAAAUCAUAUACUACUGAUACCAAAAUGUAAAAUUCUAGCCGUAUCCAAUACUGACCAAUUUUACAUUUUGAUGAUGAUACGGGAAGAGGUGGCACUAGGAAUCUUAGGUACGUAUAAAAUUCUGGCUUAAAUUUUACAUUUUGGUAUCAGGAGAACAUGAUAUGCGAAGAGGUGGCACUUUAGCGCCUACGAGUGGGCAACCGGUCUGACAUAUCUGUAAGUAUGAGUUGCCUAAUUCAAGGGGCACACGGUCGGUACGUAUUGCGAUUCUGGCCCGAUUUUACAUUUUUGUAUCAGGAGCACAUGAUAUGCGAGGAGGUGGCACGUUUGCGCCUACGGACAGGCAACCGGUCCGACAUGUCUGUAAGUAUAGGUUGCCUAAUUCAAGGGGCUAAUUUUGGGUACGUAUCGAAAUUCUGGCCGAUUUUACAUUUUGGUAUCAGGAGAACAUGAUAUGCGAAGAGGUGGCACGAGGAAUACCGGGUACGUAUCAAAUUCU